AGAAUCAACGCUGGCGGCGUGCCUAACACAUGCAAGUCGCACGAGAAAGGGUAGCAAUACCUGAGUACAGUGGCGCACGGGUGAGUAACACGUGAAUAAUCUACCUCCGAGUGGGGAAUAAACUGAGAGAAAUCUUAGCUAAUACCGCAUAAUACCCACGGGUCAAAGCAGCAAUGCGCUUGGAGAGGAGUUCGCGGCAGAUUAGUUAGUUGGCGGGGUAAUGGCCCACCAAGACGAUGAUCUGUAUCCGGCCUGAGAGGGCGCACGGACACACUGGAACUGAAACACGGUCCAGACUCCUACGGGAGGCAGCAGUGGGGAAUUUUGCGCAAUGGGGGAAACCCUGACGCAGCAACGCCGCGUGGAGGAUGAAGCCCCUUGGGGUGUAAACUCCUUUCGAUCGGGAAGAUAAUGACGGUACCGAUAUAAGAACGCCCGGCUAACUUCGCGCCAGCAGCCGC
rnacentral:rRNA from 1 species